rnacentral:rRNA from 1 species
UACGGAGGGGGCUAGCGUUGUUCGGAAUUACUGGGCGUAAAGCGCACGUAGGCGGCUCUGUAAGUUGGGGGUGAAAUCCCGGAGCUCAACUCCGGAACUGCCUUUAAGACUGCAGAGCUGGAGGAUGCGAGAGGUGAGUGGAAUUCCGAGUGUAGAGGUGAAAUUCGUAGAUAUUCGGAAGAACACCAGUGGCGAAGGCGGCUCACUGGCGCAGUUCUGACGCUGAGGUGCGAAAGCGUGGGGAGCAAACAGG